rnacentral:rRNA from 1 species
UUCGCAAUGCCCGAAAGGGUGACGAAGCGACGCCGCGUGCGGGAAGAAGGCCUUCGGGUUGUAAACCGCUGUCGGGAGUUAAGAAAUGCAAGGGUGUUAACAGCAUCCUUGCUUGACUAAGGCUCCGGAGGAAGCCACGGCUAACUCUGUGCCAGCAGCCGCGGUAAUACAGAGGCGGCAAGCGUUGUUCGGAAUUAUUGGGCGUAAAGAGCACGUAGGCGGCCGUGUAAGUCGGCUGUGAAAGCCUUCCGCUCAACGGGAGAACGGCAUCCGAUACUGCAUGGCUUGAGUGCGGGAGGGGAGAGUGGAACUUCUGGUGGAGCGGUGAAAUGCGUAGAUAUCAGAAGGAACGCCGGCGGCGAAAGCGGCUCUCUGGCCCGUAACUGACGCUGAGUGUGCGAAAGCUAGGGGAGCAAACGGGAUUAGAUACCCCGGUAGUCCUAGCCGUAAACGAUGGGCACUAAGUAGAGGGGUUUU